rnacentral:piRNA from 1 species
UGAGAACUAGGAUAAGUCUCUUUACAGAAGC